ensembl:snRNA U6 U6 spliceosomal RNA
GUGCUUGCUUCAGCAGCACAUAUACUAAUACUGGAACGAUACAGUGAUUAGCAUGGCCCCUGUGCAAGGAUGAUCUGCAAAUUCAUGAAGCAUUCUAUAUUUAA